UACAGAGGUCUCAAGCGUUGUUCGGAUUCACUGGGCGUAAAGGGUGCGUAGGCGGGUCUUUAAGUCAGGGGUGAAAUCCUGGAGCUCAACUCCAGAACUGCCUUUGAUACUGAAGAUCUUGAGUUCGGGAGAGGUGAGUGGAACUGCGAGUGUAGAGGUGAAAUUCGUAGAUAUUCGCAAGAACACCAGUGGCGAAGGCGGCUCACUGGCCCGUUACCGACGCUCAGGCGCGACAGCGUGGGGAGCAAACAGG
rnacentral:rRNA from 1 species